AAAGCUUCCUAACAGUGUAAAACUUCUAUUUUCCCCAAAAGAAAGAAACAUUUAGUUUCAUAUCAACCACAUUUGUAUCGUGAAUCAAGAGAAUUAAUAUAUAGAUUUCACAAAUCCUUGAUUUAAUCCUUGCAAUGCUUUUCAUCAUCUGAGAUUUUUUCUCUCGUCCCAACCUAUGUUCUCUACAAUGAUGACUUUUUAAAAUUCACUAUGCAAAUUAUACUUUUAUACUUAGCUCAUGAACAUUGAAUAAAUCCCCAGUCAAUGAGGGCAGAUUGCUGAGUGAGAAACGUGGGAUGAAACCUCUUCCAUACUUCAAAAAGUGGCAUUGAAAUACCAUAUGAAGUGCUGUGGAAAUAUGCUUGAUGUAUCUUUUGUAUCUUUCUUUAACCUCGAAUAGCUUUUUUUUUUUGCUUUUUUUUUUUUUUUUUCAGAUGGAUGAGGCUGGUUGGCUUUGCUUUCCAUCACUACAACAAUCUUUUCUCUUAAUUACCUACUGUGAAGGGAAGUGUUCACACAACCUGAUAAUGAUUGCAACUGCUUCAUAAUUGCAACCCGUCCUGUAAGUAAAGGCAUUAUGUUCUGGUAUGAAAUGUAUGUCUGCCUUUCAUUAUCACAGACAGAUGUGGCUACAGCCUUUCACAUCACAUGAGCUGAAGGCUGUAAAUGCUGCUGUGAUGCUCCUGCCAUUUCACUUUACCACAAUGACUA
rnacentral:lncRNA from 1 species